rfam:Gracilibacillus boraciitolerans JCM 21714 DNA, contig:contig_8.
UAAGACAAGUAGAAGCACCCGCUUCUCACCUGAUUGACACACAAAUGUAGUUAACAGGUACAAUAAGUCCGACUUAUUUGUAAUGAAUAUUGGAUGUGUGGGUGCAACGUGUACCGACACUUUUUUAAUGUG